rnacentral:rRNA from 1 species
GACGAACGCUGGCGGCGUGCCUAAUACAUGCAAGUCGAGCGAAGUUUUUCUGGUGCUUGCACCGGAAAAACUUAGCGGCGAACGGGUGAGUAACACGUAAAGAACCUGCCUCAUAGACUGGGACAACUAUUGGAAACGAUAGCUAAUACCGGAUAACAGCAUUAACUGCAUGGUUGAUGUUUAAAAGUUGGUUUUGCUAACACUAUGAGAUGGCUUUGCGGUGCAUUAGCUAGUUGGUGGGGUAAAGGCCUACCAAGGCGACGAUGCAUAGCCGACCUGAGAGGGUGAUCGGCCACACUGGGACUGAGACACGGCCCAGACUCCUACGGGAGGCAGCAGUAGGGAAUCUUCCGCAAUGGGCGAAAGCCUGACGGAGCAACGCCGCGUAAGUGAAGAAGGAUUUCGGUUCGUAAAGCUCUGUUGUUAGGGAAGAAUGAUUGUGUAGUAACUAUACACAGUAGAGACGGUACCUAACCAGAAAGCCACGGCUAACUACGUG